UGGAAAGCUAAUUCGAUUUCCUAUCUCUUUUGUUCAGAGCUUCAAAUCUAAAUCACAAGUUCAAGUCUUCAUCUGAGUCGAUCUUUGAGAGACUUCGGACUGGAUCUGCAUCAUCAAUCCUCCACUUUGCAUUCAAACAUGUGUCUUUAUUAUCUUAACCUGAAAUAGCUUAAAAGACACCCAAAACACACUAAAACACACUCAAAGACACUAUAUGACUUCUAAAAAGCAAGAAGACUCAUUUAGACACUAAAUGCAACAAAACACAAUGAAAAUACAAUUGAAACAUGAUAAAAAGGAAAAUAAAACCCUUAAUAAAGCUGUAAAUAUGAUGUGUAUCA
rnacentral:lncRNA from 1 species